rnacentral:rRNA from 1 species
UACGUAGGGUGCGAGCGUUAAUCGGAAUUACUGGGCGUAAAGCGUGCGCAGGCGGCGCGUUAAGACAGGUGUGAAAGCCCCGAGCUUAACUUGGGAAUUGCGCUUGUGACUGGCGUGCUGGAGUGUGGCAGAGGGAGGUGGAAUUCCACGUGUAGCAGUGAAAUGCGUAGAUAUCGAGAGGAACACCUGCGGCGAAGGCGGGUAGCUGGGCCGACACUGACGCUGAUGCGCGAAAGCCAGGGGAGCGAACGGG